UUGAGCCGUAUGCGUUGAAAGGCGCACGUACGGUUCUUAGGGGGAGGCAGACCAGUAAUGGUCUGUCUCUACCCGAC
rnacentral:ncRNA from 1 species